rnacentral:sRNA from 1 species
CUUUUUUUCUCACUAU